rnacentral:lncRNA from 1 species
ACCAGUUUCUCUCCCUUCAUACAUGAUGGUUUGGGCCCUGGAUGUAUCUAUAUCCCAUGGGUCUUUCUUAUCCACACCCUCACAUUACUGGUCAUACCUCUCUCCAGCUGAGUGGAGACCAUGGUUUGGGCCUUAACGCCCCUAGCCCAACAAAGGGAUUUCUACAACCUCCAACCCAACAUGCACCCCCUAAGUUUUAUCUUUUGUUUUCUCUUAUUUUUAUCAUUUU